CACCUUCUUCGCAUCUCAUUUUUGUUGAAAACCUCAAAAGAAACUGCUUUAAGCAUAAUUUCUUCUCAAUACCAUCCAUCUCUCUUUAUUUCCAUGAAAAAUCUUAUCUCUUUCCAUAAUUCUGAUCUAUGUAUAGGAAGAUCCCAUCUCUCUCUUCUCAUGGUUCUUUUCUCUUAGCAAAACCCGGGGUAUCUUUUUUUACCCCAGUCUAGGGUUUCAUCUUUAUCUUCAAUCCUAAUCUCUCAAUCACUCACUAUCUAUGCUGCUUCCUCUAAAAAAAAAAUCAAUUUUGUUCCUGUGUGCAGUAAUCGAGCUUUAAAGAUCUCUCUCUUUUAUUUCAAUUGGAAACUCCGUGAGUCUCUGGAAUUUUUCGCUCGGAAAAAUCACGGUCCUGAGUUAGCUGAUUGGGUCUUUUAUGGUGGUCCCAAAAAUUCAAAAGAUGUGAUUUCUUACAAGCUAUGUGGUCUUUUUAUUGUGUGCUGACCUGGCUCACUCCUGCAUCCUCUCAAGUAAUUUGGCUGAAGAACAUCGAAAGAAACAUCUCUUGUUCAUGGGAUGGAAGUACUAAAAACCAAGUGAUGGAUGCUCUAGAUGUACAUAGUAUCGGCCUCUACAAGUUUGCUAUUGGUUCAGCUGAGUGACCCAUCUCCGACAUUAAUCCAUAGUUGUGGACAAAUUCAGUAAUGUUGAACUACUUAACAACAGAAAUCUCCAGCCCAAUAAACGUUAAAGCUGCUCAGGAAAACACUAAUAAUGCAACAAAAAUCACAAGGUAUAAUCAACAUUUGAAUAAGUGUUGAGUUCUCACUUAGAACCACUAUGCAAGAGUAUGUAGGGUCGUGAGCUUUGAAAGUUGAUGCUAAUUACUUGUAUAUCGUUUGCAUUUUGUACAAGUGUGUCAGUAGAAAUGUUUUUAUUAAAUCAAUGUAUUCCUCUAUUUUGGCA